GUACUGCCUGCCCAAUGAAAAUUUAAUGGCCGCAGUAUUUUGACUGUGCAAAGGUAGCAUAAUCAUUUGUCUUUUAAUUGAAGGCUAGUAUGAAUGGCGUGACGUGGGCCUGCUAUACCUCUAGUUAAUCUAAACUUAAUUUAUAAGUCAAAAAGCUUAUAUUACACCGUAGGACGAGAAGACCCCGUAGAUCUUUAUAGCAGCCUUGUUAAGUAGUUUGGUAUUUUAAUUAUUUACUUAAGGUCAACUAUUUGGUUGGGGCGACAAGAAGCAAAUAAACGCUUAAUAUAAAAACUAAAAUUUAAGGCUAACUGACCCGGUUUACCGAUUACAAGAAUAAGUUACCUUGGGGAUAACAGCGUAAUCUAUUUUAAGAGUUCUUAUCAACAAAUAGGGUUGCGACCUCGAUGUUGGAUUAAAAA
rnacentral:rRNA from 1 species